rnacentral:sRNA from 1 species
UACACCCUCCUCGGCCUCCCAAAGUGCUAAGAUUACAGGUGUGAGCCACCACACCCGGUCUAAUGUUUAUUUUGUCUGGAAUUAUCUUCCUAGGAUUUUUACUGGAUCUACCAGACUGGAUGGAAAUGCAAUAGUUGACUUUGUCCGCUGGCUGUGUGCUGUGUCCAUGGAUGAACUGGCUUCCCCCCACCAUCCUCGCAUGUUCAGCUUGCAGAAGAUUGUGGAGAUAUCAUACUACAACAUGA